rnacentral:rRNA from 1 species
UACAGAGGGUGCGAGCGUUAAUCGGAAUUACUGGGCGUAAAGCGCACGUAGUCGGCUUUGCAAGUCGGGUGUGAAAUCCCCGGGCUCAACCUGGGAACUGCAUCCGAGACUGCAUUGCUAGAGUAUGGGAGAGGGAAGCGGAAUUUCUGGUGUAGCAGUGAAAUGCGUAGAUAUCUGGAGGAACAUCGGUGGCGAAGGCGGCAUCCUGGACCGGUAUUGACGCUGAGGCGCGAAAGCCAGGGGAGCAAACGGG